rnacentral:rRNA from 1 species
GACGAACGCUGGCGGCGUGCCUAAUACAUGCAAGUAGGACGCAGUUGCGAACGGGUGAGUAAUACGUGAGUAACCUGCCCUCCUUUUUGGGAUAAGCCUUGGAAACGGGGUCUAAUACCGAAUAGAGGGGGAUGGGCUCGAGGGCUAUCAGCUGGUUGGGGGGGUGAUGGCCUACUAAGGCGGUGACGGGUCGCCGGCCUGAGAGGGUGACCGGCGAAAUUGGGACUGGGAUACGGCCCAGAUGCAUACGGGAGGGAGAGGUGGGGGAUAGUGCACAAUGGGCGAAAGCCUGAUGCAGCGAGGCCGCGUGGGGGAUUAAGGCGUUCGGGGUGUAAACCUCUUUAGCUAUCGAACGGGUAGGUGGAGAAGAAGCGCCGGCUAACUACGUGCCAGCAGCCGCGGUAAGUC